rnacentral:rRNA from 1 species
CCUACGGGUGGCAGCAGUCGAGAAUCAUUCACAAUGGGGGAAACCCUGAUGGUGCGACGCCGCGUGGGGGAAUGAAGGUCUUCGGAUUGUAAACCCCUGUCAUGUGGGAGCAAAUUAAAAAGAUAGUACCACAAGAGGAAGAGACGGCUAACUCUGUGCCAGCCGCCGCGGUAAUACAGAGGUGUCAAGCGUUGUUCGGAAUCACUGGGCGUAAAGGGUGCGUAGGCUGGUUCGUAAUUCGUGUGUGAAAGGCGCGGGCUCAACCCGCGGACGGCACAUGAUACUGCGAGACUAGAGUAAUGGAGAGGAAACCGGAAUUCUCGGUGUAGCAGUGAAAUGCGUAGAUAUCGGGAGGAACACGCGUGGCGAAGGCGGGUUCCUGGACAUUAACUGACGCUGAGGCACGAAGGCCAGGGGAGCGAAAGGGAUUAGAUACCCUUGUAGUC